rnacentral:rRNA from 1 species
CAGUCGCCGCGGUAAUACGAGGGGGGCAAGCGUUGUUCGGAAUUAUUGGGCGUAAAGGGUGCGUAGGCGGUUUGACAAGUUCUAUGUGAAAUCUAUGGGCUCAACCCAUAGUCUGCAUGGAAAACUGUCAGGCUUGAGGAUGGGAGAGGUGAGUGGAAUUUCCGGUGUAGCGGUGAAAUGCGUAGAUAUCGGAAGGAACACCUGUGGCGAAAGCGGCUCACUGGACCAUUUCUGACGCUGAUGCACGAAAGCUAGGGGAGCAAACAGGAUUAGAUACCCCCGUAGUCCCUGUCUCUUAUAC